rfam:Schistosoma mattheei strain Denwood, Zambia genome assembly, scaffold: SMTD_scaffold0007595
AUCCAGCUGACGAGUCUCAAAUAGGACGAAACAUGCGUCCUGGUU